rnacentral:lncRNA from 1 species
UGGUUGUAAUACUCUGUUUUUAAAUGAAUAUAUGUUCUCAUCUACAUAGUGAUUGGUAGAUGUCAGAAGAUCAUAUCGUUACGUCUAUAAUGUUAUACUGUGAACACCAGACACAAUGAUUCUAAGAACAGCAAAUAAUUAUCUUGGGUGCAUCAAGUGUUCUUUGCCAUUUUAAUUGUUACAAGAUAUUUGGUGCCUUGUGCUGUUAGACAAUUGAACUUGACAGCAUAAAAUUGAUUUUCUUGUAAAAGAGACUGAUAUCAGAAGAUUUUUUUUUUUUUUU